UACGUAGGGAGCAAGCGUUGUCCGGAAUCAUUGGGCGUAAAGCGCGCGUAGGUGGCCUCGUAAGUCCGCUGUGAAAGUCAAAGGCUCAACCUUUGAAAGCCGGUGGAUACUGUGAGGCUAGAGUACGGAAGAGGCGAGUGGAAUUCCUGGUGUAGCGGUGGAAUGCGCAGAUAUCAGGAGGAACACCAAUAGCGAAGGCAGCUCGCUGGGACGUUACUGACACUGAGGGGCGAAAGCGUGGGGAGCGAACGGG
rnacentral:rRNA from 1 species